AUUGAACGCUGGCGGCAGGCCUAACACAUGCAAGUCGAAUGGUAACAGGAAACAGCUUGCUGUUUCGCUGACGAGUGGCGGACGGGUGAGUAAUGUCUGGGAAACUGCCUGAUGGAGGGGGAUAACUACUGGAAACGGUAGCUAAUACCGCAUAACGUCGCAAGACCAAAGAGGGGGACCUUCGGGCCUCUUGCCAUCAGAUGUGCCCAGAUGGGAUUAGCUAGUAGGUGGGGUAACGGCUCACCUAGGCGACGAUCCCUAGCUGGUCUGAGAGGAUGACCAGCCACACUGGAACUGAGACACGGUCCAGACUCCUACGGGAGGCAGCAGUGGGGAAUAUUGCACAAUGGGCGCAAGCCUGAUGCAGCCAUGCCGCGUGUAUGAAGAAGGCCUUCGGGUUGUAGAGUACUUUCAGCGGGGAGGAAGGGAGUAAAGUUAAUACCUUUGCUCAUUGACGUUACCCGCAGAAGAAGCACCGGCUAACUCCGUG
rnacentral:rRNA from 1 species